UACAGUCGGGGUCUCCGACUCUGAAGAACUCCAACGUCGAUGCCUCAACUUUGGAGACCAACUCUGCUGGGGUGGGGCAGAAGGUUGAGGUCCAGACCGUAGACCCUGGGGUUGCCCAUGAGAAGGUUGCUCCAGACUUUCCAAGUCUUGAAAGGAAAGGAGAGUCGGUGGAGGCACCUAAAGAUCUUGAGAAGAUCUUCAAGAAGGACAGUGAGGUCAAAGAAGUUGUGACUCUUUCAGCCGAACCAACCCAAGAAGUGACUUGUUCUCUUCCUCAAGACAGAGAAGAAAGCACAGGUAUCUCAGGGACCCUCAAAGAAAGACCACGGAGCAGAAGAUCUGAUUUUCAUUCUGCCAAAACUCCAUUCGUGGUGGAAACCAAGUCCGAUCCAGCCCAACCCUUGUUUGCUGCUGAUACUCUUGGUGGUGGCCCACUGUUCUUCACCAGCCCAACAGAAGACCUCCUCGAUGUCCGCCCUCCAGAACAUCCAACCAGUCUCAGGUUGAGACACGACCAACCCAAGAAGAGGGGCAGUGAUGGGAAAAGCAGGAAAGGAAAGCAUCUCCCAGAGUUGGAAGAGAAGGUUGGCUUGAGCCAAGCUUCAACGGCGGAAGACAUUGAGGGCCUGGGCGAAAUCGGUUGGACAACCAGGACCCCGGAAGAAACUUUUUCCACCUCUCCAGGAGUGAGAGAGAAGCCGAAGAAGAGAUCUAGCGUGGGGAAGAGCAGAAGAGCUGAGGACAGGAGCUCCUUCAGACAACCAUUUGUCUCUACCACAGAAGUUCAUGAGAUGUUUGACCAAACCCAACAGAGACCAGAUGAACCGAAAGAAGGGAUGAAUGUCUUAGCUACAAGCCAACAGUUGGACAGCACUACAGACGGUGUGAAGCAAUCAAGUCCACCGUCUGUCACCUUGAGUGAAAACCUCGGAGGUUCUCCAACUGGACCUGGUCAAAGGGUUGACCUUCCUCCAUCAGCAUAUCCCUUUAUCUUGGAGGUCCCUGGAAAGCAGACAGAAGGCCAGCUUCUCCUAGAGUCGACGGUCCAAGGCCAGGAAACAGGCGGGCCAAAUCAAAACAAGGGACCCCCCUUGGCAAGCUCCCCUGGAGGAGACCCCGCCUUCGUGUGGGCCACCAACAAACCCAAGAAGAGAAGCAGCGAUGGGAAAAGCAAGACAUCUCACAAAGGUCCCUCCAGGGAACCCCCACUGGGCCUGGAGAAGACGUUGGAUGGGACGGUGUCUUCAAAGAACAAUGAUUUGGUUAACAAAGGUUCUCCUGAGAAGAAGAGCCAAGGGCUAGAACUUCCUGGCACCCUCCAACUCCCUGCUGAAAAACCGCCAGGAACGACGGGAGGAAAAGAGGAGAAGAAGGUUGACUCUGGGCAGCUGUCCACCUUGAAGGAGAAAGUCAGCACUCCUAAGACAGAAGAACUCCAUAAAAUCAAAGAAACGCCAUCUAAGGAGCAGGAAGCCAGCCGAGAUCAAGUUGGAGAAGGUCCGCCCAAGCCACAUUCUGUCCUCCCUCAAGUCCUGGAAGAAGUGAAGAAACAGGAGACCAAUGGUCAAAGUUUUCAAGUUCCUAAAGUCUUGGAGAUGAAGGCAGAACCUUCUGGUGAAGACCACCAAGGAGUUAAGAUGGAGGAGGUCCCCGCCUUUGAUGGCACCAGGAAGGAGCGAUCGGAACAUCUCAAGCAUCCAGAACCUCCAGGCCAGGUUCCUGAUAAGCUCUUCGUUGAUGGCACUUUUGGAGGACAAGAGAAAGGAAAGAGUAGACAAGAUGUGCGUACUUUGGAACCAUCGGUCCAUUUGCUGGGCAAGUUGGAUACCGGAACAGUCAUAGAAGAAGGUGAGAGAAAGAUGAAGACCAAAAAAGAUGGGGACCCUGAUCUUCCAGAUCUUCAACCCCCACUUGUGAAACCUGAAAAGAAGAAGAGUGGCGAGAAGAAAAGCAAGAUUAUCCCUCAGGAACCUGUGGUUGCCCAACGAACUAAGGAAGAGGUCAGCCAUGAAGAAGAACCUCAGAGGCUUGGUGGAUUGAGCUUCACCAUAGGAGAAGCAGAGGUCGUCGAUGAAAACAGGAACAUCAAAAGCUUCCCUCCUGGCCGUCCGCUGCAUUGGGAAGAGGACCUCACAAAUGUCUUUGACCCAGCUGGACCUCUUGAGGAAUCCACGUCCAAAACUCGAGGUCCCACCUGCCCGUUUUUAGAAGCUCACUUCCCCAAGUUGGCUGGCGAGCCAAGCCAGGAGCCAUUUUUUCUUCCCGAAUUCCUACAAUCUGCAAAGCCAGGGGAUCAGAAGAUCCUGGAGGAGCUCCAGGAGAACUUGGCCAAACUUGACGGUCAAGAGGCAGAAGCUUCCCUGGUCGUGAAAGCUGGGGAUGACAUCCGGGAAAAGAGGAAGAAGAACAAGCGGACCCCGGCAGACCGCCUCUUCAAAACGGAGAAGCAAAGCGGAGGAACGUACCUUGGAGACAAAAGCUAUGGACUUGGUUCACCAGAAAUGGUGGUGGAGAAGCUAGAGACGGCUCCUGGGCUGGUGGCUGAAGGAAGAGGUUGGGUUGGAGAAGGCAGUGACCUCCCUAUGGAAACCCAAACUCUGAAGGAAUCCAAGGAGGAAGUGUCAACUCCUCAGACCGUAAUGACUGUCUUCCACGGUGGUGGAACUUCUGAGCCAGGAGUGUUAGCAGAAGAUAGACGAGAAGAUGAAGCAAGGCCUUCUGAGCAUCCGGACCGUUUAGGAAGUCAGACAAGGACAGAUAAGGUCCUGGAGGACGUCCUUCUGGAGGAAGUGGGAGGAAGUGGGCUCGCUUCCGAUCAUCUGGUGUCGGACGACAAGAACCUGGCCAAGGGAGGUCCUCUCCUCCAACCAGCCAGCAAGGAGGAGACGGGACAACUUGGGAAAGCCCAAGAUGCGCCGAACUUGAGAUCGGCAGCCCAAGAACCACAAGCGUCAACUUCUCCGGCUGCCACUGAUCACGAUGGCCACAGGCCCACAGGCGAGACCCAGAAAGCAAGCCGGGCCAAAGCUCCACCACCAAUGAAAGGCUACAUGAGACCCACCAAGUCAAGAGGACUUCCUCUUCCUCCUCCAUCUGUCCCUUCCCCAAAGGAUGGAGCUCCGGACCUAGGCAGAAGAAGACCUCCCCGACCUGAUGGCCUCCACAGGCGAGACAAAGAAGAGGUGAAGGCACCUGCUGAGGUCCCGUCGGCAGAAGACACAGCUGCCCUUCCCAGCAAGGCCCUUCCCCCGAGCCCGGAGAAGAAGACCAAGGUGAGAUUCCUUCGACGCUUCCUGCUUUGGACACGCUUGAUUUUUCCAGCCUGCUGCUUCUAAGCUGUAGCGCUAAGGUCUGUUCUCUGAGAUGAUCUUUGAGGAGAAGCUCCUUGCAACCUGUUGGAACGGCGGCGGUCUCCACCUUAGUCA
rnacentral:lncRNA from 1 species